rnacentral:rRNA from 1 species
UGGGGAAUAUUGCACAAUGGGCGCAAGCCUGAUGCAGCGACGCCGCGUGAGGGAUGGAGGCCUUCGGGUUGUAAACCUCUUUCGCCAGUGAAGCAGGCCAUCUUCUUUGUGGGGUGGUUGACGGUAGCUGGAUAAGAAGCGCCGGCUAACUACGUGCCAGCAGCCGCGGUAAUACGUAGGGCGCGAGCGUUGUCCGGAAAUAUUGGGCGUAAAGAGCUCGUAGGGGGCUGGUCGCGUCUGUCGUGAAAUCCCCUGGCUUAACUGGGGGCUUGCGGUGGGUACGGGGCGGCUUGAGUGAGGUAGGGGAGACUGGAAUUCCUGGUGUAGCGGUGGAAUGCGCAGAUAUCAGGAGGAACACCGGUGGCGAAGGCGGGUCUCUGGGCCGUUACUGACGCUGAGGAGCGAAAGCGUGGGGAGCGAACAGG